rnacentral:rRNA from 1 species
GACGAACGCUGGCGGCGUGCCUAAUACAUGCAAGUAGAACGCUGAAGGAAGGAGCUUGCUCUUUCUGAUGAGUUGCGAACGGGUGAGUAACGCGUAGGUAACCUGCCUGGUAGCGGGGGAUUACUUUUGGAAACGAUAGCUAAUACCGCAUAAAAUUGAUUAUUGCAUGAUAGUCAAUUAAAAGGUGCAACUGCACCACUACCAGAUGGACCUGCGUUGUAUUAGCUAGUUGGUGGGGUAACGGCUCACCAAGGCGACGAUACAUAGCCGACCUGAGAGGGUGAUCGGCCACACUGGGACUGAGACACGGCCCAGACUCCUACGGGAGGCAGCAGUAGGGAAUCUUCGGCAAUGGACGGAAGUCUGACCGAGCAACGCCGCGUGAGUGAAGAAGGUUUUCGGAUCGUAAAGCUCUGUUGUAAGAGAAGAACGAGUGUGAGAGUGGAAAGUUCACACUGUGACGGUAUCUUACCAGAAAGGGACGGCUAACUACGUG